rnacentral:tRNA from 1 species
GGCGCUAUAGCCAAGUGGUUACGGCGACAGAUUAGAAUCUUGAACAGGUCAUCUGUUCCUCUUUGAGGGCGCAGGUUCAAAUCCUGCUGGCGUCG